AGGUGGCAGCCAUCUCCUACUCGGCACCAUGACUGCCCUCAGACCCCUCGUGAAACCCAAGAUUGUCAAAAAGAGGACCAAGAAGUUCAUCUGGCACCAGUCAGACCGAUAUGUCAAAAUUAAGCGAAACUGGCAGAAACCCAGAGCAUUGACAAUAGGCCUUAUUUCACUUAGCAUAAUGCUCUCCAGUUCCAUCCAUGCUGUUGCAAAUGGUAAGAAUCAAGGGCCAGAUCUUGAUGUCCAACUUUGGUUAUGGGAGCAACAAGAAAACAAAGCACAUGCUGCCCAGUGGCCUUCGGAAGUUCCUGGCCCAUAACAACAAGGAGCUUGAAGUGCUGCUGACGUGCAAUAAAUCUUACUGUGCUGAGAUUGCUCACAACGUCUCCUCAAAGAACUGCAAAGCCAUUGUGGAAAGAGCAGCCCAGCUGGCCAUCAGAGUAACCAAUCCCAAUGCCAGGCUGCGCAGCGAAG